rnacentral:rRNA from 1 species
UACGUAGGGGGCUAGCGUUGUCCGGAAUCAUUGGGCGUAAAGAGCGUGUAGGCUGCUCGGUAAGUCGGGUGUGAAAUCUCGGGGCUUAACUCCGAAACUGCAUUCGAUACUGCCGUGCUUGAGGACUGGAGAGGAGACUGGAAUUUACGGUGUAGCGGUGAAAUGCGUAGAUAUCGUAAGGAAGACCAGUGGCGAAGGCGGGUCUCUGGACAGUUCCUGACGCUGAGGCACGAAGGCCAGGGGAGCAAACGGG